CCAGGACACCUCCGCCGGGUUACCUCACUGGCCUUUGCCGUUCACGUGACCGGGAAGUACGUGUACUGCCUGACGGAGCCCUGCGGUUUAGCCCCUUCUCCCCACACGAGAUCGGGGAUUUUUCUGUUAUUAAAUGGGGUUUAAAUAGAUCCCAAACUCAGACUGAGCUUUACUUCUGAUGAAGCUAGGUGACCGAGCCUAGGGAAACGCGUUAAGUGUAAAAGCUGCUACCACUACAAGUGUUCUACCUUCUAAAGGAUCCAGAUAUGGACUUUUAAAACCUGCCUUGGAACUUUCUCUGUGGGAUUUUCAACUUUACAGCACCGAUUGGAGAGACCCAGUUUCUACACAAACGGCACAGCUUGCUUGCUGUCAAUCUUCAAGCCUCUGGAAGUCUCCGUCAUCACGGGUAACACCAGCUGUACUUCUUUCCUCCUCCCCAGGGAACUUUGCACAUUUUCAGUCCGGGAUCCUCUGUGGACACUUAUCAGCAGCCAUUACUAUUUUAUUCUCAGCUCAUUUUAUGCCCCAAGCUUCAUGUGUGUAUAUUUGGAUUAUUAUUCCUUGUUUUUAGUACAUGAUGUUUAGAUAAUAAACCAUAUGUGAUUUUA